ACUACGGGAGGCUUCAGUGGGGAAUAUUGCGCAAUGGGCGAAAGCCUGACGCAGCGACGCCGCGUGAGGGAUGAAGGUCUUCGGAUCGUAAACCUCUGUCAGCAGGGAAGAACGGUCACUGUGCUAAUCAGCAGUGAAUUGACGGUACCUGCAAAGGAAGCACCGGCUAACGCCGUGUAAGCAGCCGCGGUAAGACGGAGGGUGCGAGCGUUAAUCGGAAUUACUGGGCGUAAAGCGCGCGUAGGCGGUAUGUCAAGUCAAGGGUGAAAUCCCCGCGCUCAACGUGGGAACUGCCUUUGAAACUGUCAAACUGUAGUGUGUGCGAGUUUAGUGGCAUUCCAGGUGU
rnacentral:rRNA from 1 species